rnacentral:rRNA from 1 species
AGCAGCCGCGGUAAUUCCAGCUCCAAUAGCGUAUAUUAAAGUUGUUGCAGUUAAAAAGCUCGUAGUUGAAUUUCGGGAUCAAUUAAUUGGUCGUGCCUCUGGUACGUACUGAUUUUAUUGGUUUCUCCCUUCUGACGAACCAUGAUGUCAUUAAUUUGGUGUCGUGGAGAAUCAGGACUGUUACUUUGAAAAAAUUAGAGUGUUUAAAGCAAGCUGACGCUUGAAUACAUUAGCAUGGAAUAAUGAAAUAGGACGUUUGAUCCUAUUUUGUUGGUUUCUAGGAUCGACGUAAUGAUUAAUAGGGAUAGUUGGGGGCAUUAGUAUUCAAUUGUCAGAGGUGAAAUUCUCGGAUUUAUUGAAGACUAACUACUGCGAAAGCAUUUGCCAAGG